GCCUGAGACUCUUUCAGCUGCUGCUUCAGCAGGGAGAUCUCGCCUGAUUUCUGGCACACCUCCCACUUGGUCUCCUCAAGCCUCGGCCCGAGCUCCCGCUGCUCCCGCUCCAAGGUGGCGCAGCGCCGCUCCAGCUGUUCGCGCUCCUGCAGCAGCUGUGCGAAGUCGUCCUGCAAUUGCCGCUUCUCCUGCUGCAGCUGGAACACCUGCAGCUGCAGCAGCUGUUGGGCCCGCUGUGCCCGCUGUGCCUGGGCCGCACAGUCCUCUCGCAGGGCCUCACGCUCUCGCUGCCAGUGCCGCUGCCGCUCCUCGUAUGCCUGGCACAUGGUAGCCUCAUUCUCGUCCAGACUGUCCCGCAGCUGCUGAAGCUCUGCCUCCCGGUCUCGGAGCUUUCCUUCCAGGACACAGUGCAGCAGGGCCUCAU
rnacentral:lncRNA from 1 species